rnacentral:lncRNA from 1 species
UUUCACUGCAGUAUCCCUUUCCUGCCCUGCCCACACAAACGUGUGGGUACAGAAAGAAAUUAAUUUUGGCUAUUCGGUCAAUCCCACACACCUUGAAGCCCAACCCUCACAUUUGUGGGGGUUCACUGAAUUAACCGAUCUAGGCAGUUCGCAAACAAGCCACCAGGUGGCCCACCAUCGUAUUUCCAAAAUGGCGCAAACCUCAAAAAGCGCGCGGCCGCCCGCCACGAGACGUAAGGACCAGUUAACAUUGAUACUUCGCUUUUUGAAGGGCAUGCAAUUGUUGAAUAUGCAUCUUGAGUCAUCACGGAACAUAUCUGUGAAAGAAUUGGGCAAAAGUAUGCUUAAAUUAACCCACAAGCCGUACUCGAAGUGCAACCCACACAUAU